UGGGGAAUAUUAGACAAUGGGGGCAACCCUGAUCCAGCAAUGCCGCGUGUGUGAAGAAGGCCUUCGGGUUGUAAAGCACUUUUAUCGGGAACGAAACAUUGUCGGCCAAUACCCGGCAAGACUGACGGUACCCGAGGAAUAAGCACCGGCUAACUCCGUGCCAGCAGCCGCGGUAAUACGUAGGGGGCAAGCGUUGUCCGGAUUUACUGGGUGUAAAGGGCGCGCAGGCGGGAUAAAAAGUCAGUGGUGAAAUCCUACAGCUUAACUGUAGAACUGCCUUUGAUACUUUUAGUCUUGAGUUCGGGAGAGAGAGACGGAAUUCCAGGUGUAGUGGUGAAAUACGUAGAUAUCUGGAAGAACACCAGUUGCGAAGGCGGUCUCUUGGUCCGACACUGACGCUGAGGCGCGAAAGCGUGGGGAGCAAACA
rnacentral:rRNA from 1 species